rnacentral:lncRNA from 10 species
GGCGUAAUGGGCAAAGAUGAGCGUGAAGGCAACAGCCCAUCCUUCUUCAACCCUGAAGAGGCUCCCUCUUGCAUUAGGUUAAUGGCACGAGAGAAAGGCACCUGUCCCCUCCUUCCAGGUGGAGAAAAUCCGUUACUGCAUCACCAAACUUGACAGGGAGCUUCGAGGACUGGAUGACAUCAAGGACUUGAAGGUGACAUGCUGUUCCACAGUCACUCCCUGCCUUCCGUGUGCCCCCACUUGCCCACUUCCAGAGACUUCCUCAAGCUUCCACUCCAGCCCACGUCCCCGUCCCACCCCUGCUGCCUUGAAUAGAGCUCGAGCUCUCCCUGAGCCUCUCACUCCUGGAGAUUCCAACUUAAGGGUCUGGGAUGGGAUC